UUUAUGGAGAGUUUGAUCCUGGCUCAGGAUGAACGCUGGCGGCGUGCCUAAUACAUGCAAGUCGAGCGAACGGACGAGAAGCUUGCUUCUCUGAUGUUAGCGGCGGACGGGUGAGUAACACGUGGAUAACCUACCUAUAAGACUGGGAUAACUUCGGGAAACCGGAGCUAAUACCGGAUAAUAUUUUGAACCGCAUGGUUCAAAAGUGAAAGACGGUCUUGCUGUCACUUAUAGAUGGAUCCGCGCUGCAUUAGCUAGUUGGUAAGGUAACGGCUUACCAAGGCAACGAUGCAUAGCCGACCUGAGAGGGUGAUCGGCCACACUGGAACUGAGACACGGUCCAGACUCCUACGGGAGGCAGCAGUAGGGAAUCUUCCGCAAUGGGCGAAAGCCUGACGGAGCAACGCCGCGUGAGUGAUGAAGGUCUUCGGAUCGUAAAACUCUGUUAUUAGGGAAGAACAUAUGUGUAAGUAACUGUGCACAUCUUGACGGUACCUAAUCAGAAAGCCACGGCUAACUACGUGCCAGCAGCCGCGGUAAUACGUAGGUGGCAAGCGUUAUCCGGAAUUAUUGGGCGUAAAGCGCGCGUAGGCGGUUUUUUAAGUCUGAUGUGAAAGCCCACGGCUCAACCGUGGAGGGUCAUUGGAAACUGGAAAACUUGAGUGCAGAAGAGGAAAGUGGAAUUCCAUGUGUAGCGGUGAAAUGCGCAGAGAUAUGGAGGAACACCAGUGGCGAAGGCGACUUUCUGGUCUGUAACUGACGCUGAUGUGCGAAAGCGUGGGGAUCAAACAGGAUUAGAUACCCUGGUAGUCCACGCCGUAAACGAUGAGUGCUAAGUGUUAGGGGGUUUCCGCCCCUUAGUGCUGCAGCUAACGCAUUAAGCACUCCGCCUGGGGAGUACGACCGCAAGGUUGAAACUCAAAGGAAUUGACGGGGACCCGCACAAGCGGUGGAGCAUGUGGUUUAAUUCGAAGCAACGCGAAGAACCUUACCAAAUCUUGACAUCCUUUGACAACUCU
rnacentral:rRNA from 1 species